GACGAACGCUGGCGGCGUGCUUAACACAUGCAAGUCGAACGGAAAGGCCCCUUCGGGGGUACUCGAGUGGCGAACAGGUGAGUAACACGUGAGUAACCUGCCCUUGACUUCGGGAUAACUUCAGGAAACUGGGGCUAAUACCGGAUAGGAAUCCUUGCUGCAUGGUGGGGGUUGGAAAGCUUCGGCGGUUUUGGAUGGACUCGCGGCUUAUCAGCUUGUUGGUGGGGUAGUGGCUUACCAAGGCUUUGACGGGUAGCCGGCCUGAGAGGGCGACCGGCCACAUUGGGACUGAGAUACGGCCCAGACUCCUACGGGAGGCAGCAGUGGGGAAUAUUGCACAAUGGGCGGAAGCCUGAUGCAGCAACGCCGCGUGCGGGAUGACGGCCUUCGGGUUGGAAACCGCGUUCAGCAGGGGCGAAGCUUGUGGUGACGGUACCUGCAGAAGAAGCACCGGCUAACUACGUG
rnacentral:rRNA from 1 species